UACAGCAGCCGCUUGCGGUCUGUAUGCAGGUGCUGCAUGGCUGUCGUCAGCUCGUGCUGUGAAGUGUUGGGUUAAGUCCCGCAACGAGCGCAACCCCUAUUGCCAGUUGCUAACAGGAGAGCUGAGCACUCUGGCGAGACUGCCGCCGACAAGGCGGAGGAAGGUGGGGAUGACGUCAAGUCAUCAUGGCCUUUAUGCCCAGGGCUACACACGUGCUACAAUGGCCGGCACAGACGGCAGCUUAGUGGCGACACUUGGCAAAUCCUCUAAAGCCGGUCCCAGUUCGGAUUGCAGUCUGCAACUCGACUGCAUGAAGCCGGAAUCGCUAGUAAUCGCAGAUCAGCCAAGCUGCGGUGAAUACGUUCCCGGGCCUU
rnacentral:rRNA from 1 species